GUCGGNNGGUAGCACAGAGAGCUUGCUCUUGGGUGACGAGUGGCGGACGGGUGAGUAAUGUCUGGGGAUCUGCCCGAUAGAGGGGGAUAACCACUGGAAACGGUGGNUAAUACCGCAUAACGUCGCAAGACCAAAGAGGGGGACCUUCGGGCCUCUCACUAUCGGAUGAACCCAGAUGGGAUUAGCUAGUAGGCGGGGUAAUGGCCCACCUAGGCGACGAUCCCUAGCUGGUCUGAGAGGAUGACCAGCCACACUGGAACUGAGACACGGUCCAGACUCCUACGGGAGGCAGCAGUGGGGAAUAUUGCACAAUGGGCGCAAGCCUGAUGCAGCCAUGCCGCGUGUAUGAAGAAGGCCUUCGGGUUGUAAAGUACUUUCAGCGGGGAGGAAGGCGAUGNGGUUAAUAANCUCGUCGAUUGACGUACCGCAGAAGA
rnacentral:rRNA from 1 species